rnacentral:rRNA from 1 species
UGGGGAAUAUUGCACAAUGGGCGGAAGCCUGAUGCAGCAACGCCGCGUGAGGGAUGACGGCCUUCGGGUUGUAAACCUCUUUUAGCAGGGAAGAAGCGAGAGUGACGGUACCUGCAGAAAAAGCGCCGGCUAACUACGUGCCAGCAGCCGCGGUAAUACGUAGGGCGCAAGCGUUAUCCGGAAUUAUUGGGCGUAAAGAGCUCGUAGGCGGUCUGUCGCGUCUGCUGUGAAAACCCGAGGCUCAACCUCGGGCCUGCAGUGGGUACGGGCAGACUAGAGUGCGGUAGGGGAGAUUGGAAUUCCUGGUGUAGCGGUGGAAUGCGCAGAUAUCAGGAGGAACACCGAUGGCGAAGGCAGAUCUCUGGGCCGUAACUGACGCUGAGGAGCGAAAGGGUGGGGAGCAAGCAGGCUUAGAUGACCCUGGUAGUCCACCCCGUAAACGUUGGGAACUAGUUGUGGGACCUUUCCACGGUCUGCCGUGACGCAGCUAACGCAUUAAGUU